AUUUAGGUCAUUUAAUAGGUAAUGCUAGCUUUCAAGAGUACUCUUAUGAAGAAAUGUCUUCUCUUGCUAAGGAGUCCCAGGUUUAAAAAAACAAAAAACCAGUAAGCUAGCAAGCAGGACAUCUGCUCUUGGGCCCCUGAGAGCUUGCUGGCCAACUAUGGACAAGUCCCAUCACAACUUUUCCUUGCAGUGAUGAAACCUAAAAGAACCCUGGGGACAUCUCUGUGCAUGCAGAAUAGGAAAAAAAGUCUUUUUUUGCUCUAUUUAGCAAUUUACCAGUGAGGUUUUUGCAUGUUAAUACAGGAUGACAUAAAACAUAGGCCCAGACCCUCGCUGAUAAAAUGCAGUCAGGUGAAGUUUAAACAAAUUCAAACAGUCAAUACUUACGAAGCACUAUUUGAAAGAACUUACCCUUCUAAAGGGGAUGCCUUGAUGCUUACAUGCAGGCAGAAAUAAUUAUAGGUGCAAAAAUAGAGGCCUAGUUGGAGGCGCUGUUUUUUUUUUUUUGGCAUCGCUAAUUACAGCACUGGAUUAAUAGUUUGUUGCUGGGAUAGGUUCAGACUGAGCUGGGGAAGAGCUAGCUGCAGGGGCUGGAUGCCAACGAGUCCCCGAGCUCCCAGAGGUGCUGUGCCAGCGUGGGACUGACGUGACACCUAGUGGCACGACCCAUUUCCAGGCCGAAUGGCUGCUUUCUAAAAGUCAGGUCUCUGCAGUUACCCUGCUGUUUACUGCCUUUCUCCUAGAGGUGAUGUUUCGAGGGGGACCUGGAGCAGCAUUGCAGAGUGAUGUAGAAACCCCCUGGAGCAGCAGCCUGGUUUAGCUGCGAUAUUUUACUCAGUCUCGAGCUCCUGCGGAGAAAACGCGGUAGAGGCGUUUUGAGCGCUCGCCGUUGCGAAUCUGCUCGGGCGUUGGGGGGAGAAACCUGCGCCUGGCGCGCUGGCUGCCCCANNNNNNNNNNNNCGCCGGUCGCCUGGGGACGGGGCUCCCGCCGAGGGGCUGGUCGGCGCUGUCCUCCGGUCGCGGCGAAGGAUGAGGGCGGCUGGGGGCCGUGGGCCUCUUUUUGGUUGAAGAAACCUCAGCGGAAGAAAUACGGUCUUCUUUCAAACUAUGAUGAAAACAUAGAGAUGGCUUCGUUUGACAGCGAUGAGGACACAGUGUUUGAGACAAGAAAUCUGAAGCGAUGAUUUGGGACCAGUGGCUUCAGCUGCACAGACUGACCAAGGAGGUGCAAAUCCACCAGUGGAAUCACCUUACCAAUCCUCGGGUUUUAUUUUUUUUCUAAUUGCUUAUAAUGAGUACU
rnacentral:lncRNA from 1 species